UCCAAGAGAUGCAACAUUACAAUGUGAACAUGGUGGUUUUUGGCUACUCACACCAGACAGGAGACCAUCAGAAAAUGUUACUGAUCUAGAGACAGUGGUUGGUUACCUGGUUGUCAGCCGUCCGUUCCUCACCCCUAACCACCCUGCGUCAUCAGAACAGCACUCAAGCUGAGCUCCUUGAGGAUUAUUACCAGAGUGGAAGAAUGCUGCUGAGGAUGUCUCAGGCAUUGGGACGAAUCGCCCUCGCAGGACGGGAAAUGACAAGAUUAGCAGGCUGUGGCCUCUAUUCGGUGGAUGUCUGACCAAACCUGAACGAGGAAAAUUAUUUUAUGUACUUCUGAUUAUGUUCUGCCCAGCUGUCUCUGUUCCUGUAGUGUGAUCGCAUUUCAGCACCUUUUGAUUGGUAGAAUCAAUAUAUCCUAAGUUGUGGUGUCAGUAAUUUAUUUGUAGCACAAUAUCAUACAUAGAGACCAUAUGAAUUUGGGAACGUUACGGGACCAAGUCAUUUACCCAGACACUCCAGAACACUGGAAACGUAAAGGUAUUCCUGAUAAGGUAUUGAAGGAAUACCUUGACAAUGUGCAGCUGGGUUACAUUUUGGAACGUGAAGGCGGCUGGGACAGUGUUUAAGACUGGAUGUACUGAGUGGGGGCGAAAAGCAGAGGAUGGCAGUACGUAU